GUGGGGCGGACGAGGGCGCGGACGGAGUGGCCUUGUUUCAGUAGUGCGCGGCAUAAUCUUCCGCCUAAGUAACCGGAGGCGCCGGUGACGAGUAUCUUCAUGUCUGAUUAAAGUGAUCGGCUGCUGUGUGUCCCAGGUUCUCAGGUAUCUAUAGCUGGGCUUGGAGUGAAGCCUGGAAUUGGCUGUUGGUACUGAUAAGGCGGGGCUUUGUUUGGGGAGCGAAUUUGGCUAGAUUGACAUGCCCGGCUGCUGUUUUGGUGGUUGCAACAGCGGUUAUGACGGAUGACACAUCGGCUCCUGUUGUUUAUGUGUUUUCUUUGUUUUGGUCUCAACUUUUGGUUGGGGCUCUUUUGUUUGUUUGUGUUUUUUGUUGUUGGACCUUUGUGUUGUAAUGUUUGUCGUUGGUAAUGCAUGUUACCUUUGCUCCAAAAAAAAAAAAAAAAAAAAAAAACCUUUAAA